AUUCCAUAGGAUCUCCGAGCCCUCUUCCUAAAUCCUACGUUUCAGGAUACGGAAGGUGGCCGUCAGGGCAUGGCGGGAAACGGCCAUGCCUCCCGUGCCGGAAAGGAGAUGGACUCAUAUGGGC
rnacentral:ncRNA from 2 species